rnacentral:ncRNA from 1 species
UAUUGCUAGAGAAUACGUCAUGGUGGCCGCGAAAUAACAGGGGUCAAGGUCGGCUAGUCAGGAGACGAUGGGGGAUAAGUUUCAUUGUCGAAAGAGAAACAUCCCGGAUCACUAGUUGGGCCCCCUAAAUGAUCGCUCAGUGACAAAGGAGGUAGUGACAAAGGAGGUAGGAGUGCAGAGACAGCCAGGAGGUUUGCCUAAAAGCAAGUCACCCUUGAAAGAGUGCGUAAUAGCUCACUGAUCGAGCGUUCUUGCGCCGAAGAUGAACGGUGCUAAGCGAUCUGUGGAAUGUAAAAAUACAUCGGUAUGGAAGUGUUAGGCCUUAGAGCGAAGCCUUCGCGCGAGUUGCGGUGGACGAAGCGGAAGCG